rnacentral:rRNA from 1 species
AUACAGUGAAACUGCGAAUGGCUCAUUAAAUCAGUUAUCGUUUAUUUGAUAGUACCUUACUACUUGGAUAACCGUGGUAAUUCUAGAGCUAAUACAUGCUAAAAAUCCCGACUUUUUGGAAGGGAUGUAUUUAUUAGAUAAAAGACCAAUGCUUCUUCGGAAGCUCUUUGGUGAUUCAUGAUAACUUUUCGAAUCGCAUGGCCUCGAGCCGGCGAUGGUUCAUUCAAAUUUCUGCCCUAUCAACUUUCGAUGGUAGGAUAGUGGCCUACCAUGGUUUCAACGGGUAACGGGGAAUUAGGGUUCGAUUCCGGAGAGGGAGCCUGAGAAACGGCUACCACAUCCAAGGAAGGCAGCAGGCACGCAAAUUACCCAAUCCCGACACGGGGAGGUAGUGACAAUAAAUAACAAUACAGGGCUUUUUAUGGUCUUGUGAUUGGAAUGAGUACAAUUUAAAUACCUUAACGAGGAACAAUUGGAGGGCAAGUCUGGUGAAAUGCUGACGCCAGAGAUAGUGGGGUCCUUGGCAUCCACUGGCUAAGGAUUAGGCCCGCUAGUCGAGUGUUCACUAAAUAGUGGGCGAACACCGGCGAGGUAACCUGGAACGGGGAAGCCUAAGUUGCGUAAAGUAAUAUGGUGAUCCCGUGGCGAGUCGCUAAGACCGUCGUAACGCGCGGAAAGGUACCGGCUAGUUAACUAGCUCAAGGGACGUGCUAUUCCCACUCGAAAGAGUGUUUUCAACUGAAGCGCCCAUUACGCAAAAGUUGAGAAGAGUAUUUGCUCGGUAGUGAAAGGCCAGCAGCCGCGGUAAUUCCAGCUCCAAUAGCGUAUAUUAAAGUUGUUGCAGUUAAAAAGCUCGUAGUUGAACCUUGGGCUUGGUCGGCCGGUCCGCCUCAUUGGUGUGCACUGACCCGACCGAGCCUUUCCUUCUGGAUCACUAUAGUGCUUUUUAUUAAGUGCUAUAGGGAGCCAGGACUUUUACUUUGAAAAAAUUAGAGUGUUCAAAGCAGGCAUACGCUCGAAUAUAUUAGCAUGGAAUAAUAGAAUAGGACGUACGGUUCUAUUUUGUUGGUUCUCUAGGACCGUCGUAAUGAUUAAUAGGGACAGUCGGGGGCAUCAGUAUUCAAUUGUCAGAGGUGAAAUUCUUGGAUUUAUUGAAGACUAACUACUGCGAAAGCAUUUGCCAAGGAUGUUUUCAUUAAUCAAGAACGAAAGUUAGGGGAUCGAAGACGAUUUGAAAUUACGUAUGCGAGAGCAUGCGGUUAUCUGGUCGUCAACAGUGACCUGAAAGGGGAAGCUAGUCUUGACAAAGAUCAAGGCGACAUCAUCAAAUUGCGGGAACACCCUAAAGAUCUCACUACCAAGCCAAUUUCGAAAGAGAUUGGUGGCCGAGUUAAUGACCCUGGGUAUGGUAAUAACGUGAGAUAUGUGACAAUGGGCAAUCCGCAGCCAAGUCCUAAACUACAGACGUAGCAUGGAUGCAGUUCACAGACUAAAUGGUGGUGGGCCGUUGUGCGGCUUAAGAUAUAGUCGGGCCGCGUGCGAGAGUGCGCGGGUUAACGCAGAUACCGUCGUACUCUUAACCAUAAACUAUGCCGACUAGGGAUCGGGCGGUGUUCUUUUUUUGACCCGCUCGGCACCUUACGAGAAAUCAAAGUCUUUGGGUUCUGGGGGGAGUAUGGUCGCAAGGCUGAAACUUAAAGGAAUUGACGGAAGGGCACCACCAGGAGUAAACGAACUAGCUGUAGUUAACUCUGCUCCGGAAAGCAGCCUGAAAAGGUGAGUGGUGCCUGGUCUUAAAUGCUAGUCUAGAAAUAGGCGACAUCCUCAAACUGCGGGAAACUCCUAAAGCUCUGUUUAACCAAGCUGUAGAUCGAAAGACUACAGUGGCCAGGGUAAUGACCUCGGGUAUGGUAAUAUCAGACAGAGAUGAGACAAUGGACGAUCCGCAUCCAAGCUCCUAAGUCGAUGUAUAUGGAGAAGGUUCAGAGACUAGAUGGGGAUGGGCUGAGAUUUCAGUCUAAGAUAUAGUCCGGCUGCUAUAGAAAUAUAGUGGAAUUAGGCGGGAGCCUGCGGCUUAAUUUGACUCAACACGGGGAAACUCACCAGGUCCAGACACAAUAAGGAUUGACAGAUUGAGAGCUCUUUCUUGAUUUUGUGGGUGGUGGUGCAUGGCCGUUCUUAGUUGGUGGAGUGAUUUGUCUGCUUAAUUGCGAUAACGAACGAGACCUUAACCUACUAAAUAGUGCGACUAGCUUUUUGCUGGUAUUGUCACUUCUUAGAGGGACUAUCUAUUUCAAGUAGAUGGAAGUUUGAGGCAAUAACAGGUCUGUGAUGCCCUUAGACGUUCUGGGCCGCACGCGCGCUACACUGACGGAGCCAGCGAGUAUUAACCUUUGCCGAGAGGUAUGGGUAAUCUUGUGAAACUCCGUCGUGCUGGGGAUAGAGCAUUGCAAUUAUUGCUCUUCAACGAGGAAUUCCUAGUAAGCGCAAGUCAUCAGCUUGCGUUGAUUACGUCCCUGCCCUUUGUACACACCGCCCGUCGCUACUACCGAUUGAAUGGCUUAGUGAGGCUUCAGGAUUGGCUUAGACCAGGAGGCAACUCCCAGUCAGAGCCGAGAAUCUAGUCAAACUUGGUCAUUUAGAGGAAGUAAAAGUCGUAACAAGGUUUCC